rnacentral:rRNA from 1 species
AAAAGUGAAAGACGGUCUUGCUGUCACUUAUAGAUGGAUCCGCGCUGCAUUAGCUAGUUGGUAAGGUAACGGCUUACCAAGGCAACGAUGCAUAGCCGACCUGAGAGGGUGAUCGGCCACACUGGAACUGAGACACGGUCCAGACUCCUACGGGAGGCAGCAGUAGGGAAUCUUCCGCAAUGGGCGAAAGCCUGACGGAGCAACGCCGCGUGAGUGAUGAAGGUCUUCGGAUCGUAAAACUCUGUUAUUAGGGAAG